rnacentral:ncRNA from 1 species
CUUACCGGAGGCCACAUGAUCCCGAUCCCACACCUCUCCUGACCAGGAGAAAACCUUCUUUCCGGUAAGCCAGCCUUUUGCUGUCUCACCGGCGUGAGGCAGCAACGUUCA